rnacentral:lncRNA from 1 species
UCAUCUGUCAAAAUAAUGCUGUGAAAAAGUUUCUCAAGAAGAAAUGGAUCUCCUUCUUGGUUUACUCGUUGGGCCUAAAUUCCAGUCAUAUCUGAAGCGCUUCUGUAAAUAUCAUGUACCCUAAUUUAAUUUAAUCUACCAUGCGGAAAGUUGCAAUCAAAGUUCAAAUUUACUGUAGCCCUUGAAUCCACCAAGAGCCUCCAUGAUUAUCUGCUCUAGUGCUAUAGCCCUGGGAGACAAUUUCGCUUUAAUGAAUGUUAACGCACCAGUAUCUGUCGAAAAAAUUGUUCAGAAUGACGGAGGAAUGUUCGAAUUUACAGAGGACGGCCAGCAUCAGCCGUUUCUGAAUGGUGUCAUUGACUCUCCGACUGGAGGAGCUAAAAAAUCUUUGUCUCAGCAUACGUAUGGUGAAGUGGCCGACGAUUCUAACGUAAAAAGUCCGAGGUCCACCUCCAUUGAAAAUGGAUCGUUAUGUAAGCUUACCAAAGAUAACCCAAUCUCCAUACCAAAAAACUUGGAACUGGGGAGAAUUGUCAGUUCGUUCUCCGAGGAGACUGGAGAAAUGCUAACCAUUUCGACCGAGCAGAAUGGUGUGGAUGAGGGUAUGAAAAGUGACACAGAAUGCUCAGAAAAAAAGCUAGACUCAAAUGUUCUACAUGCGGAUCUCAACAGUGUGAAUUACAAGAACUCCAUCAACUCAUCUGCUUUAAUCGACACAACAUCAAAUUUGAGCAGUACUUUAACGAAAAUGGUCUCAGAAACUGUGAAUAAUGCAGUACGCGAAUCACCUGGUGUUGAUAAAAUUCCAGUGUUGAAUAAUUCUGAUGCUCCAAUAGAAAAGUCCUCUGAGAAUGUGAGAAAUGCUCUUACUCUAAAUAAUUUCAGUGAUAUUAUUAUUGACUCGGUAUCAGAGUGUCACAAUCCUGAAGAGUAUAUGGACGUCACAGAUGAACUGAACUUAUUACUGAGGCAUUCUGAAGGGGAUGUAAUGCUUAAUGACGGAAAGAAUACAUCAAGAGCAGAAGAUAAAGGCGAAGACAGCACAGGAAGUAAUGGACCGGAUGAAAUUGACCUGAAUUAUGCUCAGGCAGAAAAUUCAGUAUUAAAUUUAUCGCCAGUUAAAAAUUCUGAAGGUUCAGAAAGAACCCUUGAGGUUCUGGCAGAAUCAGAUCAGGACCCGCAGAAACAACAAACAGUCUGUGAGCCACACGACGAAAUACAUUCCAUGAAUAUUCAAGACUAUGCAAAUUUGAAGGUCGAAUGCAGCCACUAUAAAUCAGAAAACGAACAACUUCAGCAUCGGUUAUCGAUUUUAGAAUCCGAAUUGAAUUCAUUCAAAGCCCAACAGUCUCAACUCUUGUCAACAAUUGAACAGCAGGAGAAACAAAUCAAUCAGAUCAAUGAAAACGCCAAGCGACAGCAAGAAGUUGAUGCUAAAUCUUACGAAAAGUUUAAACAGGAAUUAGAAGUGCAGAAUGAGAAGCUGAAAAAAGAAUGGGAAACAAUGAAACAUGAAAAGGAGCUCAGCGUCAUGAAGUACGCCAAGGGUGAAAUGGAUGUCAUCAAGCUGCGAGAAAAAAAUGAAGCAUCUCAAAAAAAGUUGCUGGAAGUCACAAAAGAAAGAGACAAUGCGCUCGCAAACAUGAAGCAGUUAAUUUCUGACAAGGCGAAGUAUUCGCAAAUGUACGAUAAUAAGUGUUCAAAAGGUUCGAGUAGCACAUAA